UAACCUCUGAAGGCUGGCCAGCCCCCAGGCUGGGAUGGGGGAAAAUUAUCUUCAAAAGGCUCACCCUCAAGCACAACUAGGAGC
rnacentral:pre_miRNA from 2 species